AGAGUUUGAUCCUGGCUCAGGAUGAACGCUGGCGGCGUGCUUAACACAUGCAAGUCGAGCGAAGCACUAAAGCGGAUUUCUUCGGAUUGAAGGUUUAGUGACUGAGCGGCGGACGGGUGAGUAACGCGUGGGUAACCUGCCUCAUACAGGGGGAUAACAGUUGGAAACGGCUGCUAAUACCGCAUAAGCGCACAGUACCGCAUGGUACGGUGUGAAAAACUCCGGUGGUAUGAGAUGGACCCGCGUCUGAUUAGGUAGUUGGUGGGGUAACGGCCUACCAAGCCGACGAUCAGUAGCCGACCUGAGAGGGUGACCGGCCACAUUGGGACUGAGACACGGCCCAAACUCCUACGGGAGGCAGCAGUGGGGAAUAUUGCACAAUGGGGGAAACCCUAAUGCAGCGACGCCGCGUGAGCGAAGAAGUAUUUCGGUAUGUAAGGCUCUAUCAGCAGGGAAGAAAAUGACGGUACCUGACUAAGAAGCCCCGGCUAACUACGUGCCAGCAGCCGCGGUAAUACGUAGGGGGCAAGCGUUAUCCGGAUUUACUGGGUGUAAAGGGAGCGUAGACGGCAUGGCAAGCCAGAUGUGAAAGCCCGGGGCUCAACCCCGGGACUGCAUUUGGAACUGUCAGGCUAGAGUGUCGGAGAGGUAAGCGGAAUUCCUAGUGUAGCGGUGAAAUGUGUAGAUAUUAGGAAGAACACCAGUGGCGAAGGCGGCUUACUGGGACAGUAACUGACGUUGAGGAGCGAAAGUGUGGGGAGCAAACAGGAUUAGAUACCCUGGUAGUCCACACUGUAAACGAUGGAUACUAGGUGUUGGCAAGCGAUUGUCAGUGCCGGCGCUAACGCAAUAAGUAUCCCACCUGGGGAGUACGACCGCAAGGUUGAAACUCAAAGGAAUUGACGGGGGCCCGCACAAGCAGUGGAGUAUGUUGUUUAAUUCGACGCAACGCGAAGAACCUUACCAAGACUUGACAUAUACAGGAAUAGUUAAGAAAUUAGCUAGUUCUUCGGAACUUGUAUACAGGUGAUGCAUGGUUGUCGUCAGCUCGUGUCGUGAGAUGUUGGGUUAAGUCCCGCAACGAGCGCAACCCUCGUGACUAGUUGCCACUAUUUAGUUAGGGAACUCUAGUCAGACUGCCGUGGAUAACACGGAGGAAGGUGAGGAUGACGUCAAAUCAUCACGUCCCUUAUGUCUUGGGCUACAAACGUACUACAAUGGCUAUAACAAAGAGAAGCGAAUCCGCGAGGAGGAGCAAAACUGAUAAAAAUAGUCUCAGUUCGGAUUGCAGGCUGAAACUCGCCUGCAUGAAGCUGGAAUUGCUAGUAAUCACAGGUCAGCAUACUGUGGUGAAUACGUUCCCGGGCCUUGCACUCAACGCCCGUCA
rnacentral:rRNA from 1 species